GCAAUAUUGCACAUCAACAGCCUGUGAGGACACAAGAGACAAAAUAGCAGUACAACUGGCUGGAAUACAGGGGGUUAUUGGGAGAUUGUAGAACUCAUAUAAAGUUAAACACACAGAAGAUUUCGGAGAUGAGCAGAGAGAUUCCUAUCAUCAAAUACUGUGCAGAAUGCAUCCUGGGGGAAAGUGAGCGCGUAGGAGAGCUGGCAGCCAUGUGGGCAGUGUGCUCAUGGAGAAGGAAGGAGACUUUGCCAGGUUGAUGCCAACCAUCUGCCACUUCGCAGGCUUUCCUUUACCUGGAGCUGCUGACGACUCAAUACUGGCACACACAUCUUUAGAUAUACAGUGGCACAACAGAACUACAAAUAUGUGCAAUGCAAACAUGGAUGGAAGACAGGAGGAGUUGUUGAAACAAUAUUUAAGCAGACGGAUCAACUGCCAGAAUUUGAAUAACUCCCUCUUCACCUCGGGUGGCAAUAUUAACACGGUGCUGAUAAGAGGAAGGGCCUUAAUCUGUUCAGCACAUCUGGGCUUGUGUAUUCACAGCUGGCCAAAGAGAACUGCAAUUUUACUGUGCAUAUUUUCCCAGGGGUCUAAGUCAUCCCAGGUCAUUGUAAUUCCAUAAAGUUGGGAGUAAAAUAUGUACCAAAUACCCAGUUGACCGGUUCAGCCGCAAAUUCCAUACAAAUGUGUCUUACAUAAUAAAUGUUUAUAUCUAGAGAUAUGCUACUAUUGGACAGCCACAUGUUCAUUGGCACAACUUGGCAUAACUGUUCCAUGUUCCUUACUUUAAAACUCAUUUAAUUCCCCCUA